GACGAACGCUGGCGGCGUGCUUAACACAUGCAAGUCGAACGGAAAGGCCCUGCUUGCAGGGUGCUCGAGUGGCGAACGGGUGAGUAACACGUGGGUGAUCUGCCCCUUACUUUGGGAUAAGCCUGGGAAACUGGGUCUAAUACUGGAUAGGACCAUGCUGUAGGUGGUGUGGUGGAAAGAUUAGUUUCGGUAAGGGAUGAGCUCGCGGCCUAUCAGCUUGUUGGUGGGGUAAUGGCCUACCAAGGCGUCGACGGGUAGCCGGCCUGAGAGGGUGGACGGUCACAUUGGGACUGAGAUACGGCCCAGACUCCUACGGGAGGCAGCAGUGGGGAAUAUUGCACAAUGGGCGCAAGCCUGAUGCAGCGACGCCGCGUGGGGGAUGACGGCCUUCGGGUUGUAAACUCCUUUCAGCCAUGACGAAGCCCUUGUGGUGACGGUAGUGGUAGAAGAAGCGCCGGCUAACUACGUG
rnacentral:rRNA from 1 species